rnacentral:rRNA from 1 species
GGAAUCUUAGACAAUGGGGGAAACCCUGAUCUAGCCAUGCCGCGUGAGUGACGAAGGCCCUAGGGUCGUAAAGCUCUUUCGCCAGGGAAGAUAAUGAUGGUACCUGGUAAACAAGUCCCGGCUAACUCCGUUCCCGCAGCCGCGGUAAUACGGAGGGGACUAGCGUUGUUCGGAAUUACUGGGCGUAAAGCGCACGUAGGCGGAUUAGUCAGUCAGAGGUGAAAUCCCGGGGCUCAACCCCGGAACUGCCUUUGAUACUGCUAGUCUUGAGUUCGAGAGAGGUGAGUGGAAUUCCGAGUGUAGAGGUGAAAUUCGUAGAUAUUCGGAGGAACACCAGUGGCGAAGGCGGCUCACUGGCUCGAUACUGACGCUGAGGUGCGAAAUCGUGGGGAGCAAAC